CAGGCCAGACCCACGCUCCCCAAACUGCAAAGGAAUAAAGCAUGAGCCAAAACUGCAGAGGAUUAAAAACAUAAUAAGACUUAGUCUAUGAACUUUAUCUUUAUUAUCACAUUUUUUAUGUAUGAGGAGCACCAGCCAAGGUAUACGUCAUGAGAAGGGCAACCGAUUGAAUAAAACAUUUCAAACACUUAUCUCCAACUACAUGGAAAAGGCUGAAAUGGAAAUAAUAAGGGCUUUUAAAUGAAAAGGCUGAAGUGGAAAUAAUAAGGGCUUUUAAAUGUCUUUCCAUGAUCCAAAUGAGAAGAAAAGAAGUAAGAAAACAUUGUGGUCUUUUAAAACGCUGGAGAAUUCUGCUAUAAAUUCCAAGCUCUUUUCAUACUAAAGGCCAAAAUAAUACGCAUUGCAUUUCUUUUUCGGUGGCAUAACCAUACUUUACGAACAAUAAACAAAUAAAAAUGCGACAAAAAAA